AUGCCACCUGGGGGUCACAUUGAGUCUGGAGCUUCCUUCAGCCCAAGCGCUGGCAGUGACGGGGACAAAGGUCUAAAGCCCAGGGAAGAAGGGGAGGCGCCAGAGGCAGGGCCAUGCUUGGCUUCCCAGCUGGCCCCAGUGCAGUGGGUGGCACCGCCGAGGCUGCUGUUACGGCUCAUCUUCAUUGAUUUGCCUGCGCUUCUUAUUGCCCCCACAGCGGAAUCUUCUGCCGAGGAGGAUGAGGAGCCCCACGAUGAAGGCCAGUCCAGCGAAGAUCAGGCC
rnacentral:lncRNA from 1 species